CCGGAGGCCCUUGAGUACAUCCGCCUCUGGCGCAAACUCCAAGGCGUGACCCUCACUACCACACCCGACAAGAUUUCCUGGCGCUGGACGUCAAACGGCAUUUACUCAGCCAAAUCCUGCUAUCACGCUCUCUUCCACGGAUCCACUACGCCGCCCUCUUGGAAGCUUCUUUGGAGCAGCUGGGCCCCCCUGAACACCAAGUUCUUCCUCUGGCUCGCCUCUCUGGACAGGUGUUGGACGGCUGAGCGCCGCGCUCGCCACGGCCUCACGCCAGACACCGCCUGCGUCCUAUGUCACCAGGAGACAGAGUCCAUCGACCACCUCCUUGCGGGAUGCGUCUUUGCCCGGAUAACCUGGCACGAGAUCCUGGCUUGGUGCCGGCUCACUACUCCUCCCAUGGACGGCGCGACGACCUUCUUCGCUUGGUGGGCGCUUGCGUCUGCCACCUCGCUGAGCGGACUCCGUAAAGGGCUCAACUCCAUCGUCGCUCUCACCGCUUGGGCCAUCUGGAAGCAUCGCAACGCCGCCAUCUUCGACGGCCUACAGCCCUCCACUGAUGAUCUGGUGGUCUCCAUCCAGGAUGACGCUCGCAUAUGGGCUAAGGCCGGCGCCAAGGGACUAGCCUCUAUUAUUCCUGUAACCUGA
rnacentral:rRNA from 1 species